GAAAGACUGUGAUACCACGUCACACCCACAAGUUAGAGUGGUUACGUAAGAUUUUUCUAAAAUCUUCCCAUAGAUCUGUUACUUUUGUUGAGUUCGGUGACUGUUCAGUCAGCCAUAGCAAGCAAGGGCAGACCUGGAAGUAAUCCUUCUUAAACCUACGGAAGCAGUGCCAGCAAAUUUUAGGCUGAUGAUACCAUAGCAACCAAGCCCCAAUGGGAAACGGCCACAAGGCCCUUUUCUGGACCCGCGGGGAAGCCACGAACGAAGCGCGUGGGGCGGGGCGGAGCGGGGCGGAGCGUGCGUACUCCCUGUGCCCUGCCUCCCUGUGUGACAGUUGGGGCACUGACAGUUUGACCAGACUUCGGCAGGCUGAGCGGAAAGACUCUAUGGCUGUGGGGCGAGCGGGCGCCAGUACCUCAGAGAAGGUGUAGAGGUCCCCUGGAGCCGGCAUGGAGUUGUUCCUCUAGUAACUGGAGCACUUGGAGCACCAGCUUGGGGACAAGGUCCAUUCCUCUGCCAGCUACGCUCUCAGCGCCAGUGUUAGCCAAGAGGGAGGAAUGGGAAGCGAGGGCUUCAGACAAGGAGGAAGCUCUCUCCGCAGGCACAUGAGGGAGCCUCUUCUUCUCCCUUGCAGAAAGUCACUGUGGCACAUGGACAACGGAAGUAUUAAUAAGCUGUUCUAAAGAGGUACUUCUCUAAGAUUUGGUGUUUCACAGACCACAACCAGUGCUGUCCCUUCUACAGAUGGCCAACUUCUGCAUUUUGGGGAUGGGCUUCCAAAGAUAGAUCAGCUUGCAUCCCUAAAGCAGAAGAUGCAGCUCUGGGUAAGGGAAUCAUCAGAGUCUCUAAGCCAGAGGUCAAAAGCUGCUACCCACAGACUGGUCAGGGACAAGAAAGACAACCACCAAGUAGUCAUUAGAAAUAAUCGACCCUUUUGGAGUGAAGUUAAAGCGAUGACAUUACAGCUUUGUAAUAACCAGGGCAUCAUGGCCAAGCCACUCUGAAAGCCAUGCACUGGGCAUCCCACUGCUGCGUGCUCUAGAGAGCGGUCUGGCCCUGCCCUGCCACCCACGUACGGGUGACUUUCAGCUGGAAAUUAUGCUUUCUAGGUGUGGACAUCUCCUUUGUAAAAUGCAAACCCAGAGGCUGAGGACAGAACCUUUCUUUGACUUCUUACAAGCCUGCAUCCAAAGAGAUGUAGGGGAGUCGCGAGUUUGCAGAAAUGCCACCAGUACAUCACUACCAGCUGUGCUCCACCACUGCCUGUAGAGCCUGCCGUCCCGGCGGGGGAUCUGGCAGUCAUAGCUGGACUGUCUGCAGGCUGUGCCCUGCACAACUCGGUGUUUAAUUGCAAAGACCUUCCCAGGGUGAGUGGUGUGACUAGGAUAAAAGCCUCUGUAUUAGUUUCCUAGCGCUGCCAUUAUGUAGCCUGAACUUGGUGGCUUAAAACAACAGAAGUAUAUUUAGUUGCAGUUUUAGAGGCCGGCAACCUGAAAUAAAGGUGUCAGCAGAGAUGUGCUUUAUGUGAAGGUUUCAGGGGAGAAUUUUUCCUUGUCUCUUCUAGCUUCUGGUGGCUCCAGGCACUGCUUGGCUUGUAGCCGCAUAACACCAGUCUCUGCCUCUGUCUUCAGGUGGACUUCUCCUUUCCUCCCUGUCUCUCUCUUCUGUCUAAGGACACUUGUCAUUGGAUUCAGGUCCCAUCCAGAUAAUCCGGGGUGAUUUCAUCUCAAGACCCUUAACCUACUUAAAACUGCAAAGAUUCUUUUUCUGUGUAAGGUCAGGAUAUGAUUUCAUCAUAUCUUCUGUGGGGACACGGUUCAACCCAGUACAGCCUCCAAAUGGGGAAGCAGAGAGGGACACAUAAAACCCUAUCUAUCCUUAAACCUCAAGUCAAAGGCCACCUUAUCUAGGAGACAUUGCCACUUCCCAUCACCUAAAUAUUGUCUCCACUGGACCAUCUGGUUAUUCCUGUACUGCCCAUGAGUUCUCCCCUAACUUCCAGACCACCUGCAUGAGGAUUCCCAGAGGAUCUUGUUAAAAAUAUAAAUUUCUGAGGCCCUUUGGGAGCCGUAGACUUCAGUGUAGACACGUCCAAGUUAAAAAAUCACACCACACACAACCAGUCCUGAAAAUGACACAAACGGCAUAGAAAAACCCUGAUCACAAAGAUAUGAAUCUCUUAGUGGGGUAGACCUCAGGUUCCUGAGGAACACGUGCUUUGCCAAAAAGCACAACAGGAAGGCCUGAGGAAGACGCAGGCCAGCAAUGCCAAGGCCAUGAGCGCACGUGCCAAGGCUAUCAAGGCCCUCAUAAAGCCCAAGGAGGUCAAGCUUAAGAUCUCAAAGGACAGCAGCCACAAGCUCAAUUGAGUUGUUUACAUCACUCAUCCCAAGCUUGGGGAACACGUACAUGCCUGCCUUGCCAAAGGUCUUCAUCUCUGCUGGCCCAAGGCCAAGGCCAAGGCUCAAGCCAAGACCCAGGCUGCGGCUGCAGCGGUGUCUGCGACUAUGGCUCCAGCUCAGGUUCAGGCUCCCAAACGUGCCCAGGCCCCUGUGAAGGCUUCCAGAGAGGAGGCCUCUGUCUGUUGAUGUGAGGAUAGAAGGACUGGUGUGGCGCCUGGGCUGCUGUCUGGGUGGGCUGGGUCCUCCUGUGCUGUUUGUACAAAUAAACCUGAGGCACGAUCUGUC